GUGGGGAAUUUUGGACAAUGGGCGAAAGCCUGAUCCAGCCAUGCCGCGUGUGUGAAGAAGGUCUUCGGAUUGUAAAGCACUUUAAGUUGGGAGGAAGGGCAGUAAGUUAAUACCUUGCUGUUUUGACGUUACCGACAGAAUAAGCACCGGCUAACUUCGUGCCAGCAGCCGCGGUAAUACGAAGGGUGCAAGCGUUAAUCGGAAUUACUGGGCGUAAAGCGCGCGUAGGUGGUUUUGUAAGUUGGAGGUGAAAUCCCCGGGCUCAACCUGGGAACUGCCUCCAAAACUGCAUGACUAGAGUACGGUAGAGGGUAGUGGAAUUGCCUGUGUAGCGGUGAAAUGCGUAGAUAUAGGAAGGAACACCAGUGGCGAAGGCGACUACCUGGACUGAUACUGACACUGAGGUGCGAAAGCGUGGGGAGCAAACAGGAUUAGAUACCCUAGUAGUCC
rnacentral:rRNA from 1 species